rnacentral:snRNA from 1 species
AUCCCAGUGCACGGGUCUUACACGCAUCUAUGAGGAAAUAUCCGAGAUCGUGUUAUUGCUAGUUGAAAACUACCAAUGACCCCUUCAAGUGGGCCUUCGGGCUAGCUUGGGAAUUUUUGAAACCUCCAGUAUCAUGAAG